rnacentral:rRNA from 1 species
AUUGAACGCUGGCGGCAUGCCUUACACAUGCAAGUCGAACGGUAACAGGUCUUCGGAUGCUGACGAGUGGCGAACGGGUGCGUAAUACAUCGGAACGUGCCUAGUAGUGGGGGAUAACUGCUCGAAAUAGUGGCUAAUACCGCAUGAGAUCUACGGAUGAAAGCAGGGGAUCGCCAGACCUUGUGCUACUAGAGCGGCCGAUGGCAGAUUAGGUAGUUGGUGGGAUAAAAGCUUACCAAGCCGACGAUCUGUAGCUGGUCUGAGAGGACGAUCAGCCACACUGGACUGAGACACGGCCCAGACUCCUACGGGAGGCAGCAGUGGGGAAUUUUGGACAAUGGGCGCAGGCCUGAUCCAGCAAUGCCGCGUGCAGGAUGAAGGCCUUCGGGUUGUAAACUGCUUUUGUACGGAACGAAAAGCCCUGGGUUAAUACCCUGGGGUCAUGACGGUACCGUAAGAAUAAGCACCGGCUAACUACGUGCCAGCCGCCGCCGUAA